UUGUAAACUUCAACAAAAUAAAAUACAUAUCAAAUAUCAUGUGCUUCAGUGUCUUCUGUUAUCCCAAUUUCUCGAAGAUGCCUCAUUGGUGCUUCAUCAUCACUUUGUGCCUUCACUUCUUCUUUUCUUGAACCAUAAUCCCACAAAAGUGAAGCAUAUCUUGUGCGAAUAAGAUCUGUACCAUGUAUAACAUUUACAAGUCAAAACAGUGGUACUUAUGUAUUUACUAUAUACAUAUUAUAUUUACAUUGAAACAUAUACAUAUACAAACAUUGUCAUCUACUCUUUAUAAACAAAUACAACUGAGCAAAAAUAUAAAUAUUAGCAGUACAAAUAAGAAAAUACAUAUCUAACUGAUAACAAAUACAUUUCAUAUGAUUCCAAGCAAACAAAUUAUAUAUGUAUUUUAUUUAUACAUAAUUUGUCAAAAAAUCAUACUUAUCAAUAAAAAAGAACAUAUCAUAGUCAAAUACAUAUCUUAUCAGUAAACAAAAUAAAUACAUAUCUAACUUGUACCAUGUAUAACAUUAACAUGUCAAAAUAGUGGCACUUAUAUAUUUACAAUGUACAUAUUAUAUUUACCUUGAAACAUAUACAUAAGCAUUUCAUGAAUACAUGAAUGGUCGAAAUAUAACUUACAAAUAAAAUAUACAACUGAACAUCAAUUACAAACCUUAUCAGUAACAAAUAUAAAUAUCUUACUCAUACCGUAAAUACAAAAUACAUAUAUAAAAUAUACUAUACAUAACAAAAUAUAAUUAUUAUCAGUAACAAAAUUAUAUGCAUACUAACAAUUUUAGAUAUAACAGAUGCAUAUCAACACAUUAGCAACAAAACUCAAAAAUAAACACUUUAUAAAAUGUAUAUAUAAAAUACAUAUAUGAACAUAUUGUCCAGAAACUAUAAAAUUUUACACAUAUCAGAAUACCUCCUCCAUUUUCUCUUCUUCAAAUUCAAAAUAAGAUGAAACAGUACUUGUAAUUUUACUAGAUUUUUUUUUUCAUCUGACUUUCUUUUUUUCACUGAUUUUUAAUUUUUUGUGGGUUUGGGGGAUGAAGAUUUUGUCAAAUGCUUUUCGUUUCAUGAUUUCCACAGUCUUUACGAGAUCGUUACGCUGCUUCGAUCUCAACUCUUCAAUGCUAACACCUUCCUUCUACUGAACUACUACGAUUUACAUGUUUUGGCAUUAUAGAGGAACUCCAAAAAUUUCAACACACAAGAAUUAAAAAAAAUAAAAAACCCCAAAAAAUCACAACAAAGAAGAAUGUGGAAAAAGAAUGCCCCAGAAAUUUCAAUACACAAAAAUAAAGAAAAAUAAAAAUCCCCCAAAACAAAAAUGCUGAAGAAUGUGGAAAAAAUACCGAAAAUAAAUUACAUAGAAGAACUUAUAUGGAAAAGAUAACAUGCAUUAACUGUAAAAUCAACUUACCUUAAUAGAUAGGGACAAUGUUAUCAAGAAUUUGAGAGAAAAAAUUCAGAAUUUGAAGAAAUAGGUUAGUACUUAAUCAGAAUUUGAAGAAAUGGGCUAGAAAAAUCUCAAAUUUCUGAAAAUUUUCCAAUUCAAAACAAAAAACCCCAAAUUUAUG
rnacentral:lncRNA from 1 species